GUGUACGUUGCAAAGUACUCAGAAGAAUUGUGGUAAGAAGUGAAAUACAAAUCGGACUAGGAUAUAGCUGGUUUUCUGCGAAAAUUGUUUUGGCAAAUUGUUUAUUUUUUUUUUUCAUUCAUUCAAAGAAUGAAUGUAUAAUAAUAGUGGGUAUAGCACUGAAUACUUUGGGGGAGUAUUAUUAUAUUUAUCUCGGGUAUUUAAUCUCAAAAUAACUAUUUAUUUAUAGGUAAAUAAUCAGACUAUUUGCGAUAAGGUAGAUAGUCAAAAGGGAAACAGCCCAGAACAGUUAUUAAAGCUCCAAAAUUAAUAUUUAGUGAAAUAAAAGUUGUUGGUAGUCUUUUACAGUCAAGAAGUGGGCUUGGAAACAGCCAUC
rnacentral:rRNA from 1 species